rnacentral:piRNA from 1 species
UCAAUUUGUGUGCGAAUGUCA